GAGUUUGAUCAUGGCUCAGAACGAACGCUGGCGGCGGGCCUAACACAUGCAAGUCGCACGAGAACGGUGGGCUUCGGCCUACCUAGUAAAGUGGCGCACGGGUGAGUAACGCGUGGGUAAUCUGCCCCCGGGUUGGGGAUAACGUUCCGAAAGGGGCGCUAAUACCGAAUAAGACCACGGCCACUGCGGUGGCAGGGGUCAAAGCGGGCCGUCUACAUGUAAGCUCGCGCCUGGGGAGGAGCUCGCGUCCCAUUAGCUUGUUGGUGAGGUAACGGCUCACCAAGGCUACGAUGGGUAGCUGGUCUGAGAGGAUGAUCAGCCACACUGGGACUG
rnacentral:rRNA from 1 species